UUGGGGAUACUUGAGCGAAAGUGCACGCUGACUUUUUGACUCUUAUGAAGCAGCGUGGCACUAAAGUGGACUUAACUUCGUUUGACUCGCGACAUAAAAGACGAUAUAUUAGGGCAAAAUACAGCUGGCCGCGGACCUAAAAGGACCAUUAGCGAGGGGGCUAGUAAUUGUGAAAAGAAAAGAGGGGGAAAGAACGAAGGGAAGGAAGAAAGAAAGAAAGAAAGAAAGAAAGAAGGGAGGAGGUAAAGAGGGGGGGAAAGAGAGGGAGAAAAAAAAGGGAUGGGGUAAAAUGGAGGAGCAGGGUAGUCUUCAAAGAGAUAUCAAUUUUACCAUUAGUUCAAUUUGAAUUGAUCCCCCCACGAAUACCCCUCAAUCCCUCCUUGGAUGCUAGGAAACAGAUGCCAAGAUGCUUUUGUUACAUUGCCCCAAACACAAAAGUAAAUACCGGAAGAAAUAAAGUGAUUGUAGUUAGAGAGAGAGAGAGAGAGAGAGAGAGAGAGAGAGAGAGAGAGAGAGAGAGAGAGGGUCAUUUGCAAAUGAAUGCAGUAGCAGUUGUGGAAAUAUAAGCAUGGGCUCCGUUCAGGGACGAGUGGGACAAAUGCGGGCUUUGCUCCGGGGGAGAAAAGAAAGAGGGGUGACCCCUGCACUAAUGUAAUAUACAUUCACAGCAUUUCUCAUCCAGACGCCCGGGCAACUGCGAUCAACGGCUCUGAAUGAAGGAGUGAAAUAAUGAAUGAACGGAUGACUAGAAUGAGAGCCAAGAGGUGAGGCAAAAGUUCUCGCAGUUAGUCAUCUUUAAAGGGAAAAAAAUAAAAUAAAAAAAAAAAAAAACAGAACAGGCAGCACGGCUGAGAUGGAUGUUCACUCCGCUCCAGGUUUAUGAGUUGCUGAACGAUUAAAUGGCGUCCAAACGUAAACGGUCCGAGAAAGCGAACAUGCGCUGGCACGGUGUCGGCCAUUAGAUAUGAUUUUUGAGUUAAAUAGUGCGGGAACACUGAGUGAGCGAAA
ensembl:lncRNA